AGGUAUGUUUGCACUUGAACAUAUUAAAACUUCCAUCUUUGUUGUUGAAUACCAUGGGAUUCUCUCCCAAAGUAAACAUGUUGAAGAUAUUCAAAACAACUACUUGUUUGACUUUACAUGGAAUGGAACACGUUACUGCAUAGAUGCUUAAAAAGAGGAUGGUGGCUUGGACGACUGGUGAAUGACAAUCACAGAAAUCCAGACUGCAGAGUGAAGACAAUAAUUGUUGAAGGAAGGCCACACCUCUGCCUUUUUAUCAUGAGGGAUAUUCAGAUGAGGAGAUUACAUACAGCUAUGGGGAUUCCUCUUGGCCAUGGCGUUUAAUGGAAUUAUAGGAAGAGACCUCGGUGGCUGUGCCUGAAUGCAGUGUGAAUACUUCACAUCAGAGGAAAGAGGAGGUGGUGACUCUCUGCCCAGCUAUCAGUGUCUUCAAAAAGAGGUGGCCAGCUUUAUUCACUGAGACUCAAGUAAGAAUAAAAUGCUGGUCAUUAAAAUGCAUCUCUUUACAGUCUCAGAGUAUUGAGAAUAAAAGGGAUGCGGUGCUCUCCUGCUUCAUUGAGUACCUAGGGAAGCCGCAAGAAGAGAUCUUCGAAGACUCCCAGGUAAGUUACAAAAUGACCAAUAUACACAAGAUGUUGACAGCCUCAUAAACGAACAAUUUUCUCAUUUACAGCAUGUGGUUAGAUUGAUAAAUGUUAUUGGGUUCAAGCAUUAAAAUUUUCUCUUAACUUAUUGCUUGCAAUAAAGUUUAUUGUUGUUUAUUUCUGCCAAUUAAACAUGAAAAAUGACCAGGAGGACCAAACAGAACAAACUAUGAAAGUGCUUUUGAUCCAUAAUCCCAUGGCUGAGGACAUGUAGACGUAUCUAUUGUGAUAGAGGGCAUCCAAGUGAUCAGUGGGUGUGGAUACAAAACCAAGUUGUUGAUAGGAUUAAUCUAUGCCCUCAACCUUGAAUAUACCAAAAAGCUCAAGAAUACGUUUACAUUUACAUUUGCGGCAUUUAGCAGACACCCUUAUCCAGAGUGACGUACAAAAGUGCUUUAAAUCUCUAGUAAUGAAUAAAUCUACACUGGUACGCAAGAAUACAAACUUAAUAUAAAUAUAACUCGAAUUCUACAAACUUGGAAAGUGCUAAUUUAGGUAUUUCAGGAAGAGGUAGUUCUUCAGUUGUCGCUUGAAGAUAAUCAGGGAAUGAUUAAGAAUACUUUUUGAAGUAUUUCAAAAACUUAUUUUGGAGCUAAAUGGAGGCAAGUGUCUCAAGAAGGUUCACAGCCUUUAAAAUUAAACCCAUGGAAUAGACUGCUUCUUGCCUUUGUUGUUGUUGUUGUUGUUGUUGUUAAUGUCAAAAUGUUUUGAAAUGUAUCUCAUUGUAUACAUAAAAAAUACAUCUAUUCAAGUAUUAGUGUCUCAGGAUACAGUAAUUGGUAAAUUUCAAAUAGAUGUUUGUUAUUUGAACAAAUAGGCAUCCUAAGUUUAAUUAAUGAACAAGUAGACACACUAUUUGAGCAAUGUUAGCCUAAUUUUUUUAUUUUUUUAUUUUAUAAUGCUGUUUGAAGGAAAAAAAUAAAUUCCUUGUUAUCAAGAUUUGAAUAUGUUCUUGUUGAAUAUGCAAAGAAUCAUUUUGUUUGAUUUUUGGUUGUUUAUUAAAAAAUUCAUGAACUACUGUGUCUAACUUUUUAAUGUUAUUAGUAAGUUUACCUUCCUGAUUCAAUAAUGGUUAGUCAUAUUGGUUAAUUAAUAAAAGAAAUUAUUAAAUAAAUUGAAAAAAUAUUUAAUAAACAAAAUACAAUGGUGUUAAUAAUACUCACAAUAAGUAAUUCAUUGUCUAAUAUUAUGAAUAGAUUUGACCUAAUUUCAAUUGCCACGUUAUAGCUGAUUUAUUUAGGUACUCUUUACGAACAGUAUAGGGUGAAAUUUACCCAAACAGACUGAAUGCAAAUUGUUACCUCACAUUUUUUGGGUAGUUCUAUAGGUAAUUUUUUACAGUAAAUAUUAGCCAUUAGCUCCUUUGGUGCCCGAUGUAGCUACCAUUGUUAACUCUAUACCAGCAACUAACAGAUUUUUGAUAAUGAUAAUAUAUAUUCAUAUAUUUAAAAUAUUUUUAUGAAAAAAAAUUAUUUGUCAAAACCCUGUUUGUCAUGUCAUGUUGACUUUUUGCAAAAUGUUGCUACUGAAUAUCAUUCUCUCUGUAUUUCCUAAAACAUGAUUUGUCAUGUAAAUUUUUUGUUUUUCAUUAACUUUGUAACGGUUAUUAUUGAUAUAAAAAUUAUUUUCAUAAUUAUCAUUGUUUUAUACAAAAAUGUCAUGUAUUUGACAAAACUUGAUUUUUUUCAUGUCAUGUUUUUUCCCCUUAUUCCAUUUUGUAACAGUUUUUAAUGAAAUUAUGCUUAUGAAUAUGAAAAUUUAUAUUUUUUCAAUAGAUGAAAAAAUUAUGAAAAGUAAUAAUUCUGUCGAAACAUGAUUUGGCAUGUAUAAUUUUUUAGUUUUUCGUGUCACGUUUCAUUGACUUAAACACUUUUUUUCCUGAAAUGUACCUUCGAAAUAAGAAAAUUCAUAUUUAACAACAAAAAAUGUUGUCAAUAGGUGAUUAUAUCAUGUCUGAAUCAUGCCACAAAAGAUGAAAAAUUAUGAAAAAAGUUAUAUUUCUGUCAAAACAUUAUUUGGCAUUAUAGAUUAAAAAAAAAAUUUCAUGAAUUGUUUCUUCUAAAUAUGAAAAUUUAUAUUUUCAUCAUAUAUUGUAUUUUCAUAACAAUAGACAUUUUUGUCAAAAAUCGAUAUUUCAUGUCAUUAUUUUUGUCAAUUUAUUGAACUAUUGUACGUUUAUGGUUCCUGGUGGUCUAGUGGUUAGGAUGCGGCGCUCACCGGCGCUCUCACCGGGUUCGAUCCGCAGUCAGGGAACCAACCCCGGCCACUCUUAGUGCCGGUCCCAAGCCCGGAAAAAUGGAGAGGGUUGCGUUAGGAAGGGUAUCCAGCGUAAAAACAUGUGCCAAAUCAAACAUGUGGAUGAUCCGCUGUGGUGACCCCUGGAGGGAGAAACCGAAAGUUUUUAUUGUACCAUUGUACGUUUAUUUUUUUCAUGAACUUAUGCCUUUCAACAUUUCAUAUUUUCACAGUAACUCCAACCUUUAAAAAAAAUGUUUUUUCUCAAAACAAAUCUGGUGUCACCAUCAUUCACUUUUUGCAAUUUUAACAGUUCUUUAAUUAAAUUAUGCUUAAAAAGUACAUAUUUUUAUUUUACAUAUAUUUUUUUAUGGAAAAAUAAAACUUUUGUCAUGUACAUUUUUUUUUUGAUCGCUUAUUUCACUUUUACUAAUACAUUUUCACUUGAGCAUAAAAAUUCGUAACAUCAUACUUUUUCUGUUAAAUGUCAACUUUUUGUCAAAACAUGGUCAAUUUGUAGUUUUGUUUUGUUCACAAUGCCUUUUUAAUUGUUAUUCAUAAAAUUAUGCUAAUUUAUAUACAAAAAUAAAAUUUUCAUAAUAACUAUUUUUAUAUGAGAAAAAUCUGUCAAAACAUUGUCAUGAUUUUUAAGUGACGUGUUAUUUCCCCCUUAUUCCACUUUUUAAUGGUUUCUAAUUAAAUUAUGCUUAUGAAUAUGAAAAUUCAUAUAUUUAUAAUGACAUUUUUGAAAAACCUCAUUUUUGUUAAAACUUUCAUGUGUUUCACUGACUUCUUGCACUUUUAAAUUUUUUUCCUGAAAUGUACCAUCGGAAUACGAAAAUCUAUAUUUUUAUACCAAAUAAUCAUUUUUGUCAAAGGUCUUAUAUGUCAGUAUUUUUGUUCACUUACUGCACCCAUUUGUUUUUUUCAUGACAUUAUGAUUCUAAAUAUGAAAACAUAUUUUCACCAUAACUAUCAUACCUUUUAUGAAAAACGUAAUUUUUUUUCAAAAAAAUUUGUCAUGUCAUCAUUAUCGCUCACUUUCUGCCAUUGUUAACUGUUUUUUAAUAAAUUAAGCUGAAAAAUUCAUAUGAACUAUUAUAUUUUUAUAAAAAUAGUAAAAUUUCUGAAAAAAGUUCUUUUUGUCAAAAUGUCAUAUUUCAUGUCAU